UGUGCCGGCCCCGCCCCGCUCCGCCCGCGCCCGUAAAUGCCGGCGGAUCCGCGCCCGCUCCGCUUUGUGCGGUGAACGCUCAUCCUGCUCAUCCCGGGCUGCGGCGGGACCGUCGUUCGGGGCGCUGUGCGGAGCCCGGCACCGGGGGCUGCUCCCGGCGCUGCGCCGAGCCCGAGGCGCUGAGAGCACAGGACAUCCUGAGUGGGAAUGGAUACACAAAGACCACCAAGUCGCACCCUUAUGUGAAUGGCUCCUCUGGCGAUUGAACCCACACCUGGGCACUCUCAGCACCCUGCUCCAGCCAAGCCAAUCUCAGCUCCUGGCAAUAUCCUGCCUGGGAUAGGAAUGCCAAGUGCCAGCAAGGUCAUUCCUAUGCAAAUACAGCUCCUUCUUUUAUGCUAAUGCUGCUUUCCACACCAGCCCCUGCAAUGGCCCCAGGGCAGAGCUCCAUGGCCAGCAUCUGAUCAUGCAACAACACAGGUGAGCAGUUGUGUGACAGCACUGAACUCUUCCCAUAACCUGAUUUCCUGCCCUUUCCAGGAUUUACCCAAUAGCUGUAAAGGUGCUCGUUCCAUGGCCCUUUCCAGGGAGAAAUGAGCAAGGCAAGUCCUGAGGGUUUACUUGGUCCACAGCCAAAGCUCUUCUGGAGAGGGUCAGGGCUGCUCCUGCCUGCAGAGGGGCCUUUCCCACAGGUGCCCUGGGGAUGCCAGGGAGGUGCCUUUGCCCACAGUGCCUUUCUCCUGCCCCUCUCCAGCCCGAGGCCUCUUCUCCCUUCCCUGCCAGCUGCUGCCAAAGAAGGAGGACACAUUCCCCACUGAGAAGAACACAACCUCACAGCUGUUAAGGCCUGACAGUUCCCUGCAGGGAGAGCUCAGCACAUGUGCCCAGAGGCAAUCCCAGCACCUGAAAGAAAGAAAGAAGCAGCAAAAGGUGAUUGCUUCUCUUUCAAAGUUAUUUCAAGUGCUCACACCCAAACCCACCUUUGCUCUUGAUUCUGGCCGGGUGCAUGGUGAGCAGUAGGCACAGGUCAUGUCAUCCAUGCUGGUGUGAGUGAUGCUUUCUGGGGGAAAGCAGCUGAUCUCCAAAGUUCCCUUCCUGCCCUGUGCCUGAUCUGCACAGGAGAAAACCUCUUCCAGGAAGGGAUUGUGCUCCCUCUAAUCCCAUUUGCCCAGUCUGUGCCAUGGGGAUAUUGCCAGCCUGGGGCAGCAGAGGCACACGCAGCUCUCAGCACUCUCUGCUCCAAGCACAGCUCUGGGCUCCUUUGCAGACUGCCUCUGCUGUGGGGUUUUCUCCAGGAGAAGCCAAGGAAUUGCUCAUGGAAGGGUGGAGAUUAAGUUAUCCCAAAGGGAAGCAAAGAGUUAAGUACUCCAGGAAGAGCCCUUGGCAUCUGCUGGGCUGAGGUGGGAAGGGGACAUUCAUUCCCUGCAGAGCCAAUACACAACAACCUCCAACCCAAAGCACAGACUGGCAGGUGGGGUCUGACAGCACCACUCUGACAAACCUCCUUGUCAUUCUUCCCUGCAGUGACUUUUGCAAGCAAACUCUGAAGCUGACAAGCCCAGAAGCUCCAUCCAUCCACUCUGGAAGGAAAGGAUACUCCCAGGGAUGAGGCACAUUCCCAGCAAACUCUCCCAACCCAGCCUGGAGGCAGCGCUGGAGCUCGGCUGUGGGGCUGGGAAGGGCUGCCAGGAGCACGCAGCCCCCAGGUGGGGUGGCAGCGGCAGCAGCAAAUUCCCACAGGCUGAUGGCACAACAGAGAGACAAAGGCCAGCAGUGCCCAUGGGAGGUGCAGGGUUAAUUCUGCUCCCUGCCCUGCCCCAUCCCCGCAGGAAAUCUCCAAGGGGGAGAGAAACUCUCAGGGUGCCCAAAAUGCAGCAUCUGUCACCCUGAUCCCGCUUCAACUCAGCGUGGGGGGCCAAACUCCCCCCACAGGUAAACACUGAGCUGACCUGGUCAGUCUCAAACACAGCCCCAGUUCUCACCUCCAGCCUGCUCCUGGGGCUGCUGCCACAUUCCUGACAAGGAGCCCCUGUGGACAGGGCUCUCUCUGUGUCUCAGGUGCUGGGCACUGCAGGGACCAGGGCAGCCCCCUCUGGGGACAAUUGGGGAUUCAUCCCACACCACAGGCAGGACCAGGGGCCCUCCAGUACAGGCUGGUGGGGCCAGAGCCCAUUGGGUUUGGCUGCUCAAAUACCAAAGCUUUUGGCAAAGAUGGGACAAGUUAAGUGGGUUUUCCUGUCCUGAGAGAGAGAAGAAAUUGUUGAAAUUAAGCAUGGAAAUUAAGUCCACUGUGGAAGUCAAAGGCUCCUGGCUUUCCCACUCCUGUUCUGAUUGCUCACUAGAGGGUUUUAUCCAUAAAAAAAUAAGAGGUGGCACCAAAUAAAAGAGCUCUUUUUCAACAUUUCUCCCCUACUUACUUUCAUACCUAAAAAGGAUGUCCAUUUUUUCUUAGUGCAUUCUUUGCCUAAUUUUAACAGAACCGUUUUUCCUUCCAGGCCCCACUUGUGGGUUAUUUGCUCCUUUGCCAUUGGACUUUGGACAAAGGAAGAAAAGGAUCUGCUCCACAUGGGUGUCAUCCUAUGGGGAACACCCCCUGUACCAGCCCCAGCCUGGGCCAAGCACGCUGCCUCACUUUCCCCAUUCUGGAUGCUGGCUCCAAUCCAGUCUGAGUUUUCUCCUGGUUUCCAUGUCUAAGGACAGGAACUUGUCCUGGUCAGGAUGUAAGGCCUUAAACUGCACCUUGAUCUGGGGGGCUGUGACUGGGAUUCCAGCAGGGAAUUCAUUGUUUUACAAAUAAAAAUUAUUCCAGGGA